UCAUUCGGACCUCCCCGGCCUUAUCUACUCCCUGGGCUCUUUUCUCUCUCACUCACUCAUUUUCUUUCUCCUCCAGACCGAGCCGAGCGGAGCUCGCUCAAGCCGGCGCCCUGGCCAUCUUCGGCCGCCAUUCGUCGAUUCCUUCCACAAGGACCUCCACAACCUCGUCCCGCACCUCCUCCACACCUCCCCAUGCCGUGCUCGAGCUCUACCCUGCCGGAAUCAGCCCCUCCAUCUCCGGCCGCCAUGGAAGCUCCGCCCGGAGCUCUAUUCGUCGUCGAUCUCACUCCUCCGGCCGCCAUGCCUCGAUUCUUCGCGCCCUGAGCUCCCUCGCCACCUCCUCCAUCUUCUCCAGCCCCUAGUUGAGCUCCUCCCCAGCCGAAUCGAAGGAAAUCGACGGCUCCACCGCCGACCGCCAUUGGAGCACCGCCGAGCUCCGCCCCCUCACGUCGAUCCGCGUCUCCGGCCCUCCUCCGCCCAAACCGACCCCAAGAAUCGAUUCCCCGGUACCCUAGAUGUACAACGCGCGGACGUGAAGCACGCGGUGAUGGAGCCGAACUACAAGACGUGUUCGGUGGAUAUCUCAUGAAAAUGGAAGGACCCACUGAGGCAACCGAAGACCCGGCCCAAGGGCGGAAGCGCCCAAGGCCUUAAUAGUAUUAACACUAACUUAGUGUUACCCCCAAGCAAGCCCCGGUGCAUGUCCUAUUAUUUUAAAUUAUGAUUCACUAUAUAUAUGUUUAUUUAUUAUUUAUGUAUUAAGUUUUAGUAAUUAUUUGGAACCCUAGUUGCAUGAUCCUUAGGUUCCCUUGAGUUAUACUAGUAUGUAUAGGAUGAUAGCGAUGCCAUGCUUAAUAGGUCUCGGUAGAAGUCGAGUGAUUUCUAGUCACUCGUGAGAUAUAUGAUUUUUUUAUAGAAGUCGAGUAAUUGCCGGUUACUCGCGAGAUAUAUAAUUAUCUUUAUACUU